AAGAAUUGAACUUAAAGACUUUUGGGGGUUGGAGAACCAAGUAUGGUAGAAAGUUGAGUUUUCUUGUUUUAUCUCGCUUGUUUUAUUUAGUGAAAGGAAGUAAUUUUUAAAUUUGUGAUCUUUAAUUGAAAUCGGCCAUUUCUAUAAUGGUGUUUCCAUAGCCACAUGUUCUUCAUAGCUGAUCAGGUUCAUUUUCCCACUUCAUUGUGGUGGAAGACUGCUGAUAUUGGUUUAUUUCUUCCUAGAUGUGAAAUUAUCUAAAAAAUUAUCUGGAUAUCUGGGCCCUAUGCAAGUUUGAUUCAUAGUUUUUUGUAGUAAUCUGGAAAAUUCAAAAAAUAGUAGUAUUUAUUGGAAGAUGAAUUUGAUGCCUGUUGAUAGGGAGAAAAAGAUAUUAUGAUAUCAUCAUCUGUUUAUGGUAGGGGGUGAACUAGAUACAAUCUUAUUGCCUUAUUUAAUCAGCAGAUCUAACUGCAUUUGUCUAUAUUUCCUAUGAUGGAAUCACUUGUCAUGUUUGGCAGCCUUUAAUCAGAAUCCUCCAAAAUGUGUAUUAGAUUAUAAUUGUGAUUCAUUGCAGUAGUGCAUUCCAAUGCACCCCGAGUAAGUUUCUUGGCUGACAUGUAAUCUUUAUGUAUCUCACUAUUUAGUGGUUACCCUAAUUGUAUGUAUAUCUUUCAUCUAUGUGUGUGUGUGUGUGUGUGUGUGUGUGUGUGUGUACACACGCAUUGACAUGAAAAUUCCUAGAUUUGACAGAGGCAUCAUUAUCAGGUGUAACAAUAUCCAUUUUAGCAGCAUUUGCAAUGAUGUUUUUCUUCUGAAUGGUAUGUUUUACUUGUACAUUUUCUUCUUAAGUAAUUAACAGUAUUUAUAGAUCGAUACAUGCAUCAUUCUUCUUGCCUUCAGGCUUCAAUCUAAUGCUUUAUUGAUCACUUUGUUUGUUUAUCCUCACAAGCACCACAUGUAGGAUUUGGGACUGGAUUUUGAACUAUUUGGGGCUGGCUUGUUAGGCCAUUACUAUUCAAAAUUUUAAUUUGCUCAGCCUAGCUUUUAGAGGAUGGCCUGUUUACACCCUUAACUAUUCAAAUGAAGCAGAUACAGACUCUAUUUCAACAUUGAGACUAAGGAUGGAGUCCAAAAGAUCAUACGUCUUUUCGUUUAUAUUGAGGAGAACCAUGGAAGGCAAUUGGCUUUUCAGUUUCUGAGCAGAUUCUGUUGCAACAAG